UACGUAGGGUGCAAGCGUUUAAUCGGAAUUACUGGGCGUAAAGCGUGCGCAGGCGGUUUUGUAAGUCUGUCGUGAAAUCCCCGGGCUCAACCUGGGAAUUGCGAUGGAGACUGCAAGGCUAGAAUCUGGCAGAGGGGGGGUAGAAUUCCACGUGUAGCAGUGAAAUGCGUAGAGAUGUGGAGGAACACCGAUGGCGAAGGCAGCCCCCUGGGUCAAGAUUGACGCUCAUGCACGAAAGCGUGGGGAGCAACAGGAUAGAGUACCCUGGAUGAGUCCAGACC
rnacentral:rRNA from 1 species